AGACCCGAAACCCGGUGAUCUAGCCAUGGGCAGGUUGAAGGUUGGGUAACACUAACUGGAGGACCGAACCGACUAAUGUUGAAAAAUUAGCGGAUGACCUGUGGCUGGGGGUGAAAGGCCAAUCAAACCGGGAGAUAGCUGGUUCUCCCCGAAAGCUAUUUAGGUAGCGCCUCGUGAAUUCAUCUCCGGGGGUAGAGCACUGUUUCGGCUAGGGGGCCAUCCCGGCUUACCAACCCGAUGCAAACUGCGAAUACCGGAGAAUGUUAUCACGGGAGACACACGGCGGGUGCUAACGUCCGUCGUGAAGAGGGAAACAACCCAGACCGCCAGCUAAGGUCCCAAAGUCAUGGUUAAGUGGGAAACGAUGUGGGAAGGCCCAGACAGCCAGGAUGUUGGCUUAGAAGCAGCCAUCAUUUAAAGAAAGCGUAAUAGCUCACUGGUCGAGUCGGCCUGCGCGGAAGAUGUAACGGGGCUAAACCAUGCACCGAAGCUGCGGCAGCGAACGUAUCACCCAAGACAACUUUACGGAGUUGACGAUUGACGGAGCGAAGCGACGUCAAAGCGUUCAUUAAAGUCGAGUUGGCUUAGGGAUACGUUCGUUGGGUAGGGGAGCGUUCUGUAAGCCUGUGAAGGUGGCCUGUGAGGGUUGCUGGAGGUAUCAGAAGUGCGAAUGCUGACAUAAGUAACGAUAAAGCGGGUGAAAAGCCCGCUCGCCGGAAGACCAAGGGUUCCUGUCCAACGUUAAUCGGGGCAGGGUGAGUCGACCCCUAAGGCGAGGCCGAAAGGCGUAGUCGAUGGGAAACGGGUUAAUAUUCCCGUACUUGGUGUUACUGCGAAGGGGGGACGGAGAAGGCUAUGUUGGCCGGGCGACGGUUGUCCCGGUUUAAGCGUGUAGGUGUGUGUUCCAGGUAAAUCCGGUUCACUUUAACACUGAGGCGUGACGACGAGGCACUACGGUGCUGAAGCAACAAAUGCCCUGCUUCCAGGAAAAGCCUCUAAGCAUCAGGUAACAUCAAAUCGUACCCCAAACCGACACAGGUGGUCAGGUAGAGAAUACCAAGGCGCUUGAGAGAACUCGGGUGAAGGAACUAGGCAAAAUGGUGCCGUAACUUCGGGAGAAGGCACGCUGACACGUAGGUGAAGUGAUUUACUCACGGAGCUGAAGUCAGUCGAAGAUACCAGCUGGCUGCAACUGUUUAUUAAAAACACAGCACUGUGCAAACACGAAAGUGGACGUAUACGGUGUGACGCCUGCCCGGUGCCGGAAGGUUAAUUGAUGGGGUCAGCGCAAGCGAAGCUCCUGAUCGAAGCCCCGGUAAACGGCGGCCGUAACUAUAACGGUCCUAAGGUAGCGAAAUUCCUUGUCGGGUAAGUUCCGACCUGCACGAAUGGCGUAAUGAUGGCCAGGCUGUCUCCACCCGAGACUCAGUGAAAUUGAACUCGCUGUGAAGAUGCAGUGUACCCGCGGCAAGACGGAAAGACCCCGUGAACCUUUACUAUAGCUUGACACUGAACAUUGAGCCUUGAUGUGUAGGAUAGGUGGGAGGCUUUGAAGUGUGGACGCCAGUCUGCAUGGAGCCGACCUUGAAAUACCACCCUUUAAUGUUUGAUGUUCUAACGUGGACCCGUGAUCCGGGUUGCGGACAGUGUCUGGUGGGUAGUUUGACUGGGGCGGUCUCCUCCUAAAGAGUAACGGAGGAGCACGAAGGUUGGCUAAUCCUGGUCGGACAUCAGGAGGUUAGUGCAAUGGCAUAAGCCAGCUUGACUGCGAGCGUGACGGCGCGAGCAGGUGCGAAAGCAGGUCAUAGUGAUCCGGUGGUUCUGAAUGGAAGGGCCAUCGCUCAACGGAUAAAAGGUACUCCGGGGAUAACAGGCUGAUACCGCCCAAGAGUUCAUAUCGACGGCGGUGUUUGGCACCUCGAUGUCGGCUCAUCACAUCCUGGGGCUGAAGUAGGUCCCAAGGGUAUGGCUGUUCGCCAUUUAAAGUGGUACGCGAGCUGGGUUUAGAACGUCGUGAGACAGUUCGGUCCCUAUCUGCCGUGGGCGCUGGAGAACUGAGGGGGGCUGCUCCUAGUACGAGAGGACCGGAGUGGACGCAUCACUGGUGUUCGGGUUGUCAUGCCAAUGGCACUGCCCGGUAGCUAAAUGCGGAAGAGAUAAGUGCUGAAAGCAUCUAAGCACGAAACUUGCCCCGA
rnacentral:rRNA from 1 species